rnacentral:rRNA from 1 species
UACGUAGGGUGCGAGCGUUGUCCGGAAUUAUUGGGCGUAAAGGGCUCGUAGGCGGUUUGUUGCGUCGGCUGUGAAAUCCCGAGGCUCAACCUCGGGUCUGCAGUCGAUACGAGCAAACUAGAGUGUUGCAGGGGAGACUGGAAUUCCUGGUGUAGCGGUGAAAUGCGCAGAUAUCAGGAGGAACACCGGUGGCGAAGGCGGGUCUCUGGGCAACAACUGACGCUGAGGCGCGAAAGCGUGGGGAGCAAACAGG